GCUUAAUCGAAAUGGUAAAUUGUCGUACCGCUCAUUUGUUUAAAACAACCUAACGUCAUUAAUUAUUGAACGAAAAUCAAAAAGUUGUCAUUGAACUGUUAAAAAAUUAGAGAAUGGGAAAAGGUAAAAAAGGAGGAAAAAGUGGUGGAGGAAGUGCUACAGCAUCUGCGACUACAGAAAAAAAAGCUGCAACCAAUCCAAAAACCGAAGAAAAGACUGCUGCAAAAGAUAACAGUAGUUCAACGCAAAAAGUUGGAGGCGGAAAAAAAGGUGGCAAGAAAUGAUUUUCUGCAGCCGUGAAGAUGUAUCAAACGAUUACUUUAAAAGUUAUUUUUCCUUUAUACUUAAUAUGUUAUAAUUACGAAUAAACUAGAACUAUAUUGAAAA